AAAGAAAGAAAGAAAGAAAAGAAAGAAAGAAAGAAAGAAAGAAAGAAAGAAAAAGGCUGGACACAGCCACUCAUGCCUGUAAUCCCUGCACUUCAGGAGGAUUGCUUGAACCUGGGCAACACAGUGAGACCCUGUUUCUACAGAAGUUUAAAAACUUAGGCCAGGCAUGGUAGCUCGUGCCUGUAAUCCCAGCACUUUGGGAGGCCGAGGCAGGCAGAUCACCUGAGGUUGGGAGUUCGAGACCAGCCUGACCAACACGGAGAAACCCCGUCUCAACUAAAAAUACAAAAAAUUAGCCGAUCCUGGUGGUGCAUGCCUGUAAUCCCAGCUACUCGGGAGGCUGAGGCAGAAGAAUUGCUUGAACCCAGGAGGUGGAGGUUGCAGUGAGCUAAGAUCAGGUCACUGCACUCCAGCCCAGGUGACAGAGCAAGACUCCGUCUUGAAAAACAAAAAAAACAAAACAAAAAACAGAAAAUUUGGGCCGGGCGCAGUAACUCAUGCCUGUAAUCCCAGCACUUUAGGAGGCCAAGGCGGGUGGAUCGCUUGAGCCCAGGAGUUCCAAGAUCAACCUGGGCAGCAUGGCAAGACCCCAUUUCUAUUAAAAAAAAAAAAAGUAAGAAAAGAAAAAACUGGAGCUAUGGAGACAUACAGAGGAAAGAUGAUCUGAAGAUGGCCACGUUAUGAUGGAAUCGGAGACUGGAGUGGUGUGUCUACGAGCCAAGGAACUCCCACGUCUGCUGAGAAUGGCCAGAAGCCGGGAACAGGAAGGGAAGGGCUCUCCUCUACAGCCAUCAGAGACAGCGCAGCUCUGCCAACACCCUGACUUGAGACUUCCGGCCUCUAGAACUGAGAGCCAAUCACUUUCUGUUGUUCAAGCCCCUCAGUUUGUGGUCCUUUAUGGCAGCCCUAGGAAACCAAUGUACAACAAGGCUAUGUUCCAAUGGAAAGGGGUGCCCACCGUGACAGCCAAGUAGAGACCGG
rnacentral:lncRNA from 10 species